GACGAACGCUAGCGGCAGGCUUAAUACAUGCAAGUCGAGGGGCAGCAGCUUUGUAGCAAUACAGGGGCUGGCGACCGGCAAACGGGUGCGGAACACGUACGCAACCUUCCUUUAACUGGGAGAUAGCCCACCGAAAGGUGGAUUAAUAUCCCAUAGUAUAUUUGAGUGGCAUCACUUAGAUAUUAAAGCUCCGGCGGUUAAAGAUGGGCGUGCGUCUGAUUAGGUAGUUGGCGGGGUAACGGCCAACCAAGCCCACGAUCAGUAGCUGAUGUGAGAGCAUGAUCAGCCACACGGGCACUGAGACACGGGCCCGACUCCUACGGGAGGCAGCUGUAAGGAAUAUUGGUCAAUGGACGCAAGUCUGAACCAGCCAUGCCGCGUGGAGGAUGAAGGCCCUCUGGGUUGUAAACUUCUUUUCUUUGGGACGAAACCCCUGUUUCUACGGGGACUGACGGUACCAGAGGAAUAAGCACCGGCUAACUCCGUGCCAGCAGCCGCGGUAACAC
rnacentral:rRNA from 1 species